rnacentral:rRNA from 1 species
UACGUAGGGUGCAAGCGUUAAUCGGAAUUACUGGGCGUAAAGCGCGCGUAGGUGGUUUGGUAAGCGAUAUGUGAAAGCCCCGGGCUUAACCUGGGAACUGCAUGUCGAACUGUCAGGCUAGAGUAUGGUAGAGGGUGUGGAAUUUCCUGUGUAGCGGUGAAAUGCGUAGAUAUAGGAAGGAACAUCAGUGGCGAAGGCGACACCCUGGACCGAUACUGACACUGAGGCGCGGAAAGCGUGGGUAGCGAACCGG